GAUGAAGAACGUAGCGAAAUGCGAAAAGUAGUGUGAAUUGCAGAAUUCAGUGAAUCAUCGAAUCUUUGAACGCACAUUGCGCCCGUCAGUAUUCUGACGGGCAUGCCUGUCCGAGCGUCAUUUCAACCCUCAAGCACUGCUUGGCGUUGGCGGAUUGCGUGCCCUCGCGGCGCUGCAACCGCCCAAAUACAGUGGCGGUCCCGCUGCGGCUCCCUUUGCGUAGUAACUCACCUCGCACUGGACCGGGCGGCGGCCUGCCGUAAAACCCCAACUCACGAAAUGUUGACCUCGGAUCAGGUAGGAAUACCCGCUGAACUUAAGCAUAUCAAUAAGCGGAGGA
rnacentral:misc_RNA from 1 species